rnacentral:rRNA from 1 species
AAUAUUAGUCAAUGCUCGCCAGAGUGAACUAGCUAACUGGAAUCACGAAUGUGUCAUUUGUGAUAACGUAAAGGAAAAAUAAUGAUGUCACUUUACUAUUAGUGUUGUCAAAGUCUGGUGCCAGAAGACUCGGUAAGGCCAGAGACGCAAGCGUUAAUCAUCUUGAUCAGGCGUAAAGGGUUUGUAGGCGGCUUAACAAUAACAUAAAAGCCAUAAUCAGAUAACCAUCCCGCCUGAGAGAACACUUGGAGUACGGUUGAUAUCUGUAGAUACCAAUGUGGAAUUCUAAUUAGCGAAGGCUCUUUUCCAAAUAAUGAUUGACGCUGAUAAACGAAGGUGAGGAACGACAAUAGGAUUAGAUACCCUGGCAUCCCUCUCUGUCAACGAUGAAUGGUAGUUGCUAGUUCUAAUGAGCUAGUGGCGAGGUUAACACGUUAACCAUUCCGCCUUGUGAGUA